AUUGAACGCUGGCGGCAGGCCUAACACAUGCCAGUCGAGCGAGCGGAGGACGGGUGAGUAAUGUAUGGGGACUGCCCGAUAGAGGGGGAUAACUACUGGCAACGGUGGCUAAUACCGCAUACAGUCGGAUAACCCAUAUGGGAUUAGCUAGUAGGUAAGGUAAUGGCUUACCUAGGCGACGAUCCCUAGCUGGUCUGAGAGGAUGAUCAGACACACUGUGACUGAGACACGGCCCAGACUCCUACGGAGGCAUCAGUGGGGAAUAUUGCACAAUGGGCGCAAGCCUGAUGAAGCCAUGCCGAGUGUAUGAAGAAGGCCCUAGGGUUGUAAAGUACUUUCAGUCGGGAGGCGUUACCGACAGAAUAAGCACCGGCUAACUCCGUGCCAGCAGCCGCGGUAAUUC
rnacentral:rRNA from 1 species